GAUGAACGCUGGCGGCGUGCCUAAUACAUGCAAGUCGAGCGAACAGAUAAGGAGCUUGCUCCUUUGACGUUAGCGGCGGACGGGUGAGUAACACGUGGGUAACCUACCUAUAAGACUGGAAUAACUCCGGGAAACCGGGGCUAAUGCCGGAUAACAUUUAGAACCGCAUGGUUCUAAAGUGAAAGAUGGUUUUGCUAUCACUUAUAGAUGGACCCGCGCCGGAUUAGCUAGUUGGUAAGGUAACGGCUUACCAAGGCAACGAUCCGUAGCCGACCUGAGAGGGUGAUCGGCCACACUGGAACUGAGACACGGUCCAGACUCCUACGGGAGGCAGCAGUAGGGAAUAUUCCGCAAUGGGCGAAAGCCUGACGGAGCAACGCCGCGUGAGUGAUGAAGGUCUUCGGGUCGUAAAACUCUGUUAUUAGGGAAGAACAAAUGUGUAAGUAACUGUGCACGUCUUGACGGUACCUAAUCAGAAAGCCACGGCUAACUACGUG
rnacentral:rRNA from 1 species